UAGGGAAUCUUCCACAAAUGGGCGCAAGCCUGAUGGAGCAACGCCGCGUGAGUGAAGAAGGUCUUCGGAUCGUAAAACUCUGUUGUUAGAGAAGAACAUGCAGGAGAGUAACUGUUCUUGUAUUGACGGUAUCUAACCAGAAAGCCACGGCUAACUACGUGCCAG
rnacentral:rRNA from 1 species